rnacentral:rRNA from 1 species
GUUCUGGUGCCAGCAGCCGCGGUAAUUCCAGCUCCAGUAGCGUAUAUUAAAGUUGCUGCAGUUAAAAAGCUCGUAGUUGAAUUUCUGUUUGUAAGAGUCGAAGCUUUACAGCUAAGAUUUCUUCGAACAUCUGUUUGCAAGCAUACGUUCGGCCUUCACUGGUUGGCUAUGUAAGCAAGCGCUUUACCUUGAGAAAAUUAGAGUGUUCCAGGCAGGCUUCAGCCGGAAUACAUUAGCAUGGAAUAAUGGAAUAGGACUGGGGACUAUUUAUUGGUUUGAGGCUCCAGUAAUGAUUAAUAGGAACAGUCGGGGGCAUUGGUACUUAACAGUCAGAGGUGAAAUUCUUGGAUUUGUUAAAGACUAACUAAUGCGAAAGCAUUUGCCAAGCAUGUUUUCAUUAAUCAAGAACGAAAGUUAGGGGAUCAAAGACGAUUAGAUACCGUCCUAGUCUUAACUGUAAACGAUUCCAUCUUAGAAUUGGGUGAAUAUUUGAUGAUUCAUCCAGCGCUAUAAGAGAAAUCAAAGUCUUUGGGUUCUUGGUGGAGUACGAUCGCAAGAUUGAAACUUAAAGGAAUUGACGGUUUUGCACACCAUGGAGUGGAGCCUGUGGCUUAAUUUGACACAACACUGGGAAACUCAUCAGGACAACAAAGUUUUAGGAUUGACAGAUUGAUAGCUCUUUCUUGAUUGACUUAAUGGUGGUGCAUGGCCGUUCUUAGUUGGUGGAGUGAUUUGUCUGGUUAAUUCCGUUAACGAACGAGACCUUAACCUACUAACUAGUACGACGUGACGAACGUUAGUUACUUCUUAGAGGGACAAUGUGUAUUUUUAACACAAGGAAGUUUAAGGCAACAACAGGUCUGUGAUGCCCUUAGAUGUCCUGAGCCGCACACGCGCUACAAUGACACUUUCAAUAAGUUUUUGCUGGUCCGACAGGAUUUCGGCUAAUCUUUUUAGUAAGUGUCGUGCUAGGGAUAGAUCUUUGCAAUUGUGGAUCUUGAACGAGGAAUUCCUAGUAAGCACAAGUCAUCAGCUUGUGCUGAUUACGUCCCUGCAAAAUGUACACAUCGCCCGUCGCUUGCUCCGAUUGAGUAAUCUGGUGAGCCUUCUUGACUGAGUAAGUAAUUACGAAGAAAAUUAAGCAAACCAUAUUACUUAGAGGAUGAAGAAGUCGUA